rnacentral:tRNA from 1 species
GGGGAUAUAGCUCAGUGGUAGAAUGCUUGCCUAGCAUGCAUGAAACCUGGGUUUGAUCCCCAGCACCA